UACGUAGGCAGCAAGCGUUGUUCGGAGUUACUGGGCGUAAAGGGUGUGUAGGCGGUUCUUUAAGUUUGGUGUGAAAUCUCCCGGCUCAACCGGGAGGGUGCGCCGAAUACUGAGGAACUAGAGUACGGGAGAGGAAAGUGGAAUUCCUGGUGUAGCGGUGAAAUGCGUAGAUAUCAGGAGGAACACCGGUGGUGUAGACGGCUUUCUGGACCGUAACUGACGCUGAGACACGAAAGCGUGGGUAGCAAACAGG
rnacentral:rRNA from 1 species